GACGAACGCUGGCGGCGUGCUUAACACAUGCAAGUCGAACGGAAAGGCCCUUCGGGGUACUCGAGUGGCGAACGGGUGAGUAACACGUGGGUGAUCUGCCCUGCACUUUGGGAUAAGCCUGGGAAACUGGGUCUAAUACCGAAUAUGAUCAUCGGCUUCAUGGUCGGUGGUGGAAAGCUUUUGCGGUGUUGGAUGGGCCCGCGGCCUAUCAGCUUGUUGGUGGGGUAAUGGCCUACCAAGGCGACGACGGGUAGCCGGCCUGAGAGGGUGACCGGCCACACUGGGACUGAGAUACGGCCCAGACUCCUACGGGAGGCAGCAGUGGGGAAUAUUGCACAAUGGGCGCAAGCCUGAUGCAGCGACGCCGCGUGAGGGAUGACGGCCUUCGGGUUGUAAACCUCUUUCAGCACAGACGAAGCGCAAGUGACGGUAUGUGCAGAAGAAGGACCGGCCAACUACGUG
rnacentral:rRNA from 1 species